rnacentral:rRNA from 1 species
GGCGGACGGGUGAGUAAUGUCUGGGAAACUGCCUGAUGAGGGGGAUAACUACUGGAAACGGUAGCUAAUACCGCAUAACGUCGCAAGACCAAAGAGGGGGACCUUCGGGCCUCUUGCCAUCGGAUGUGCCCAGAUGGGAUUAGCUAGUAGGUGGGGUAACGGCUCACCUAGGCGACGAUCCCUAGCUGGUCUGAGAGGAUGACCAGCCACACUGGAACUGAGACACGGUCCAGACUCCUACGGGAGGCAGCAUG